UAGCGGCGAGUGAAGCGGCAAAAGCUCAAAUUUGAAAUCUGGCGUAUUCUACGUCCGAGUUGUAAUUUGAAGAAGGUAACUUUGGGGUUGGCUCUUGUCUAUGUUCCUUGGAACAGGACGUCACAGAGGGUGAGAAUCCCGUGCGAUGAGAAGCCCAAUUCCAUGUAAAGUUCCUUCGAAGAGUCGAGUUGUUUGGGAAUGCAGCUCUAAGUGGGUGGUAAAUUCCAUCUAAAGCUAAAUAUUGGCGAGAGACCGAUAGCGAACAAGUACAGUGAUGGAAAGAUGAAAAGAACUUUGAAAAGAGAGUGAAAAAGUACGUGAAAUUGUUGAAAGGGAAGGGUUUGAGAUCAGACUUGGUAUUUUGUAUGUCUUGCUCUCGGGCGGGGCCUCUGCAGUUUACUGGGCCAGCAUCGGUUUGGAUGGUAGGACAAUCGCGGAGAAAUGUGGCACCACCUCGGUGGUGUGUUAUAGUCUUUGUGGAUACUGCCUGUCUAGACCGAGGACUGCGUCUUUU
rnacentral:rRNA from 1 species